rnacentral:rRNA from 1 species
GACGAACGCUGGCGGCGUGCUUAACACAUGCAAGUCGAACGGUAAGGCCCUUCGGGGUACACGAGUGGCGAACGGGUGAGUAACACGUGGGUGAUCUGCCCCGCACUUCGGGAUAAGCCUGGGAAACUGGGUCUAAUACCGGAUAGGACCACUGCCUGCAUGGGUGGUGGUGGAAAGCUUUUGCGGUGUGGGAUGGGCCCGCGGCCUAUCAGCUUGUUGGUGGGGUGAUGGCCUACCAAGGCGACGACGGGUAGCCGGCCUGAGAGGGUGACCGGCCACACUGGGACUGAGAUACGGCCCAGACUCCUACGGGAGGCAGCAGUGGGGAAUAUUGCACAAUGGGCGCAAGCCUGAUGCAGCGACGCCGCGUGAGGGAUGACGGCCUUCGGGUUGUAAACCUCUUUCAGCACCGACGAGGCGCAAGUGACGGUAGGUGCAGAAGAAGGACCGGCCAACUACGUGCCAGCCGCCGCAGUAAAAC